GGAAGGAGUAACUUUUUCAUUUCUGAGACACAAUUAGAAUAGUAUUUUGAUAUUGAAAUCUUGAAUUUGUGAUUGGGGGACAGAGGAGGAAAAGUAUAAAUUGAAAGUUUGAUCAUGUUAUAGGAUGACUUUCAGUGCUCUUGGAGGAAGAACUUAAAACACAUGUGGAUCUGUGCUCUUGGGUUCUGUGUAAGUAUGCGAAUUGCUUUUUGUGCUCUUGGCAUUCUCUUUUUCUUUACCAAGCAUGAAGAGAUUAAAG
rnacentral:misc_RNA from 1 species